rnacentral:rRNA from 1 species
UAACGAAGGGUGGCAAACAGUUUGCUCGGGAUUAUUGGGGCGUAAAGCGCACGUAGGCGGCUUGGCAAGUCGGAUGUGAAAUCCCUCGGCUCAACCAAGGAAGUGCAUCCGAAACUGCCGAGCUUGAGUACUUAAGAGGAUCGCGGAAUUCCCGGUGUAGAGGUGAAAUUCGUAGAUAUCGGGAGGAACACCAGUGGCGAAGGCGGCGAUCUGGAAAGAUACUGACGCUGAGGUGCGAAAGCGUGGGGAGCAAACAGG